rnacentral:piRNA from 1 species
UAGCACAAUGUUGCUUUGCACCCUGGACCGC